UACGAAGGGGGCUAGCGUUGCUCGGAAUCACUGGGCGUAAAGCGCACGUAGGCGGAUUCUUAAGUCGGUGGUGAAAGCCUGGAGCUCAACUCCAGAACUGCCUUCGAUACUGAGAGUCUUGAGUCCGGGAGAGGUGAGUGGAACUGCGAGUGUAGAGGUGAAAUUCGUAGAUAUUCGCAAGAACACCAGUGGCGAAGGCGGCUCACUGGACCACAACUGACGCUGAGGCGCGAAAGCUAGGGGAGCAAACAGG
rnacentral:rRNA from 1 species